AAAAAGUAAAUAAGCAAAAUUAUUUCCUUGUUUAGAGAUAAGAAGCGAUUGUUUUUUAUUUGUUUGAUUAUUCCCACCCUUUCCGUUCUCUGUAAAGUCUGAAUCAACGUUGAGCCCAAUGUAUUUGUAUCGACACAAAUAAACAAUCAGUUUCGGCGAAUAAAUUUUAUGCAGACAGGCUUUGUUAAAAGUAACAAUGGACGCAGCACGAAUUAAAAUUUAGUUAAUUAACCUUUUUUUUAGUAAUCUUUUGUGUGCCAAAUCGGUAAACUUGUUUGUGCUUAAAAUAAAACAAAAUGUGAAACAGCUUAGCCUACUUUGCUGAAAAUUGUUACCCAGUCUUAUUCAGUUUUGAUUUUAAUCGUUUUGCUUUAAAGCAAGCAAGUCCAUUAUCAGAAUCCGUGUAUGACGUAGCCAUGCAGGUAUGUAACCUAUGCACGACCAACUUUAGCUGGAUAAUCAGUUUUAGAACAGAGUAGAAAAGGUUAUUUCUCAAAGAUUUCUUGCGCGCAAAAAUCUGAUGGAAAAGAGAAAUGAGCUUUUGUUUUGUCACCUUAGUUACCCGAUCUUUAUAAGUAACAAGAUCUCUUCGUGAAACUUCUACAGUUCCGCCAAUAUGCGCACGAAACAAAGGAAUCGUUUGACGACAGUCAUUCAGUCAAGCGUACCCCUGCCGUCUUAUCUCAUAAGCCCGUAAGGUUAACAAAGUUGGAAAUUCUAUUGAGGAAAAAAAUAAAUAUGUUAUUUCCCAGGGUCGGUCCGUAUCGUGAAAUACCGUGACCUCGGCCUCCCAGCUGGUAAAUAACAUAUAUGUCCCUUUCUUAUCUUAUGUUCUCUUGUAUGAAGCCAAUUUUGCGAUUUUAUAGUAUGCCGUGAAAUAUGAAAUGGUAACAAGAGAGUCGCGAUAAAUGUGUUUGUUUGUCGCCGAAUAAAAUAUUUAUUCUGGUCUCGACCUUCAAAGAUAUUGCAUUAGUAAAAUUUUAUCUUUUGAAGAGUAUUUUCGCUGCUCAUAUGAGGAAAAUUCGGGUAAUGACACACUUGGUUUUCAUUCUUGAAAAAAAAAGGCGACUGUCCAGUGCUGAAAAACGCUAGACUAGUUCCAGUACCGCGCGGUUAAACCAGCCUUUUUGUUUUGAAAUGGCGGCAUUUCACCGGGCGAACUGUCACAUUUUGGCGAAUGCUAAGAAGACUAGACCAAACAUAAGGCUAUCAUUUUCUUUAUGACUCCCUCAUUAUCACACAAAUCUGUCAUCUUUUGUACAGUAUGGUUUUAAUUCUGUACAGUCAAAACAGCAACUGAAGUCAGCCUUUCGUACCUUUAAUCGAACUAUUCAACACUACGAUUGUGCUUGUUUUCGCCAGAGCAAGCGCAUGCGCAUACGUUAUUCAGCACUGUCGAGCAGAACCACAAGCGACAAACAGAAAGCGACAAAGAAACCACUGCUAAGGGACUACCUGAGGGCAAGAUGAAUUUGAAUGCUAAAGACUAAAAGACAGCAGAAUUGAGAAACAUGUCUUAAAGAUAAGAGUAUGGAGUUCUUAUGCACUAGUGAUUUGAUACCCCCACACCCAUGGUCCCAGGAAAGGGCGAGGGAUUAGACCUUAAACAACUGUAAUAAAAGUCUCAUGAAACAAAUUGUACUCAAUUGCCUCUACCCCUUGUGGAAAUAACUGUACAUUUGAGAUGAUUUGCCAACAGAAAUGAGCUGUUUAUGUCUCUCAAAACGUUUUCAUAUAUGUUGAAUCGUAUACCGUAUAGGUAUCAAGAGAGAGAGAGAGAGAGAGAGAAAGAAUUUGCCUUCCUUACACUUCAUAUAAUCUGCAAAACAUUGUUAUCUAUUCCCCUGAUUGUGUUUUAUUAGAUAAUGGAAGGCUGUUUCCAAUUUUGUUUGCUGUCCUGGCUAGGAGGGACAAGUCUAAGAGUCAAAGGGGGAAAGGGUUAGUUAUAUGAAAGUACUGAAUAUAACUAUUGCAUCAUUGUUAUAUCAUUGUUAUAUAAGAGUCAUAUUUAUUUCUUUUUUUUUUCUUUCCCUGUUGACUAUAUAUUAAUGAAUAGAUAUAAAUGAACAGAUUUGGUUUAAUAAGAAAUUUUUAUUUAGCACUUUCACUUAUAGAUCUUUUUAGGAUUUGCUUUCCAAAUCAGUCUGUUUCCUAUUGCAUUUAUUUGGUAGUUAAAAUGGCUGGAUCCAGACUUUUUCUGAAAAAAAGAAGCAGCAGGCCACCAUGCUGAAUGGUGGGUGCACCAAAAUAUAAUGCAUUUCUUUAUGUAUAUUUGUGGAUUUUAAUUUCCAUGGGCAUGGAAAAACCACUAAGUCGUACAUGAAAACUUCAGUAUGGCAUCUAAAAUGUGUCCAACUAUACUAUUCUAUCUUUUUGAUGCUGUUACACCCAUUACUUGUUCUUCACAACGACAAAGCUUGUCAGAAUGCAGCUUUGAUACAAAUGUAUUUUACCAGAACUUUUAUGAAGGGAAGGGGUUUUGAGGGCAGAUACUUAAAUUAUAUAACACUAGCAAUAACCUUGUGCUUUUUCAAUAAUAAAUCUGUAAAGAAAACAGUUUUAUAUCAACCUUAAGAUAAUGGGAAAAGUGAAAUGUCAAGAAAGUGCUCAAUCCAAA